rnacentral:lncRNA from 1 species
AGUGUCGGUGUGUGUCGGUGUCCGACACCAACGCGUGUCCGACACCGGGACACACCUAAUCCGAGGAGUGUCUUUGCUUCAGAUCAUUACACUCAUUUUCAUUGCUAUGCAGCAUCUGUUAUCUUCAUGCAACCCUAUCUGAUAUGGAUUUUUGGGAUACCUCUAUUUUUCGCAAUCUACUAUUGAUAACACAAAUUCAGAAUGAGUUUCUCUAUAUUCAGUAAUGGAAUGCUGAGGUAAUGUUAAACUUCUUACCCUUCUAUUUCUACAGUGCAAAAUUGAACAAAAACCAAACGGGGUUGGUUAAUUAUGAAUACAAUUGAAUUCAAAAAGUUCAAAUUGCAAACAAGUUGAUAUAUUUAUCCUAUAAAUAACCUACAGCAGUUGACACAAACGCAAUAAUGGAAGAGGCAUAAAGAAUUGAAUUUGAAUGAAAAUAAAAGACAAAAAGUGUGAAAAAAAGCACCUUGAGGAACUAAACACCAACCCAACUCUUUCUAUCCAAACAAAUCGAGCAGAAGCAACCCA